rnacentral:lncRNA from 1 species
GUGCAGUUCCAAGUACCGGUGCUGGUAAGGGUCAGGAAAGACGUCAUCCUCAGGGUUGACUCUGACCCCAAAGAACUCACACAGGGUCAACCAGAACCCAGGGGUGAAGCGCAUCCCCCGUGGAGGCUGGGAAUGCAGAGCAUUCCGAUGCCAGCACCUUGGGCCCAGGAAAAGCUCAGCCAGCUCUCGAGCUGGGAGGGUGUUGGCACCCACUAGAGGGGGCAUCUGGCUGAGCAACUGAGCGAUGGCUGUGGCCAUGCCACUACUCGCAAUGAGGGUCGAGUCCAGGAUGAGUCGGAGUGUGUGCCGGUGCUGAGGCCUGGCCACUUCCAAAUUAGGGGCAGGCACUGGGGAGAGGGGCUGCCUUGCUCUCAACAUCACCAGGACAGCUGCCACACCCAGGAGACUCUUCCAGUAGAGCAGGCCACGGAAGAAGUUUAGGACAACGGCCCGGAUCUGGGCCACACUGAAGUGAGCCAGUAAGCCAUUGAGGAUAUGGUCCAUCGGGAUGGCAGCCAGUAGCUCCCGCACCAUGCUGGGCACCUCCUCAUCUUCUUCCUCCUCAUCCUCUUCUUCCUCAUCUUCCUCCUCCUCUUCUUCCUCCUCUUCCUCCUCCUCCUCUUCUUCCUCCUCUUCUUCCUCCUCUUCCUCUUCCUCCUCCUCUUCCUCCUCAUCCUCUUCUUCCUCCUCUUCCUCCUCUCCUUCUUCCUCCUCCUCUCCCUCCUCCUCCCCUUCUUCUUCUUCACCAUCUUCCUCCUCCUCCCCUUCUUCUUCUUCACCAUCUUCCUCCUCCUCCCCUUCUUCUUCUUCACCAUCUUCCUCCUCCUCCCCUUCUUCUUCUUCAUCAUCUUCCUCCUCCUCCUCUUCUUCUUCACCAUCUUCCUCCUCCUCCCCUUCUUCUUCUUCACCAUCUUCCUCCUCCUCCCCUUCUUCUUCUUCACCAUCUUCCUCCUCCUCUUCUUCAUCAUCCUCUUUAUCCUCAGUCUCAGAGGAUCUGUCAAAGUACCUUAGAUUUGCCCUAAUGGACAUAAGCAGCAGUGGGCGCAGAAACCUUGCUCUGAAGCCUCUCUGGUUCCAACAUCUGCGGAAGAGUGCUUGUGUGUCACCUUCAGCUGGCAUCUCCAUAACACCAAAAUUGAAGUGUGAGAAGAAGAAGACCCAAUGCCCGGGGAGAAGUACGGUGAGCCUGUCAUUAUUCAGAGAGGCUAGAUCCUCUGUGUUGAGAAGGAUCAUGAUGGGCUCCUCGGUGUUCUCCAGGUAGCGGCACCACACCAUGAAGGCAGCCCGGAUUGGAAGGAUCCUCAUCUCCACUCGAGGGUACUCCACCUCCAUUGUAGAGAGGGGUCUUGAAUAGAAAGCACAGGUAGAUUUCUUGCCAGUUUCGUCGUCGGUUUGGACCAGGGAGGCAGACAGGAAUGACCCAGUGAUGUCUGUUUCCAAGUAGAAUGGGUUCUGAGGCUUAGGGUGAUAGAGAACGGGCGACUUGCGGAAAGCCCUCUUCAGGGAUUCCAAGGCCUCCUGCUCCUCUUCUCCCCAGUAGUAGGGCUCUGAACUCAGCAGUUGUCUCACUAGGGGUGCUGCGAUGACAGCGAAGUUCUCCACGAAGUGGCGAUAGGGAUAGACAAGGUCAAUCACACUUUGAAGACACCUCCUGCUGCCAGGGACAGGGCACCCCACGAUGAGGUUCAUAAGGUUCUUGUUCAGUUUCACCCCUUUGGGGGAUAUGUUGAAGCCCAAGAUUUCAGCGGUCUGGCGAUGGAACUGAGUUUUGUCCAGUGAACAGUAGAUGUUGUGAUACCGAAAGCGGACCAGGACUUGGCGGACAUGCUGGGAGUGUUCCUCCUGGCUCAUUGAGUAGACCAGGACCUCUCUGCCAUGGCAAAUCACAAACAACCCUAGGAUGUCUUUUAGGAUGAAGUGAACAAUGUUGUUCCCUUCGUCAGAGUAUGAGUUCAUUGUGAAGGGCCGGUAGCAUCUCAUCUGGUGAAGGCCGAAACCGAACGAUGCUCUCCAAGUGUCUUCCGUGUGUGUGACCGUGUGCCUCAUCUCACUUUCCUUAAUCCCAAGCAGCUCCAGUUUUGUGAACCAUGCCGCUCCAUGUAGCUGGUCGAAUAGCUCUGGUACCAUCUGCGUGUAGUCUUGUCUGUCAGUCAGCAUGUCAUACAGUAUCCAGUAUUCCUCUUGCUCCCUGGCUUUCUCUUGCUGCCUGGCUUUCUCUUGCAUCCUGGCGCUCACAGGUUCCAAAGUCUCUCGGGCCCCAGACUCGUAAAAGACGCCGCUUUGAUCACUGUCUCCAGCCUG